AUGCGGUAUGACGGUACCCUUUCGAAUAAGAGGUUGCUAACUCUGUGCCAGCAGCAGCGGUAAUACAGAGACCUCGAGCGUUAUCCGGAUUUACUGGGCGUAAAGCGUCUGUAGGGGGUUUGUUAAGUUCCAGGUAAAAUCUUAAGGCUCAACUUUAAGUUCGCUUGGAAAACUAAUAAACUGGAGUCCAGCAGAGGUGCAUGGAACUUGCGGUGUAGGAGUGAAAUCCGUUGAUAUCGCAAGGAACACCAAAGGCGAAGGCAUUGCACUGGGCUGGUACUGACCCUGAGAGACGAAAGCGUGGGGAGCAAAACGGAUUAGAUACCCGUGUAGUCCACGCCGUAAACGAUGGAUACUAGAUGUUCGGGGAUUCGACCCCCUGGGUGUCACAGCUAACGCGUUAAGUAUCCCGCCUGGGAAGUACGGCCGCAAGGCUAAAACUCAAAGGAAUAGACGGGGAUCCGCACAAGCGGUGGAGCGUCUGGUUUAAUUUGAUAGUAAGCAAUGGACCUCACCAAGGUUUGACAUCCUAUGACAACCCUGGAAACAGGGCUUCCUUCGGGCAUAGUGACAGGUGCUGCAUGGUCGUCGUCAGUUCGUGCCGUGAGGUGUUCCGUUAAGUCGGGAAACGAACGAAACCCUCGUCGCAUGUUACAAAUUUCAUGCGAGACUGCCCGGGUCAACCGGGAGGAAGGCGGGGAUGACGUCAGAUCAGCAUGGCCCUUAUACCUUGGGCUACACAGGCGCUACAAUGGCCGGUACAAAGGGUUGCAAAACCGCGAGGUGGAGCUAAUCCCAUAAAGCCGGUCCAAGUUCGGAUUGGAGGCUGCAACUCGCCUCCAUGAAGUUGGAAUCGCUAGUAAUCGUGGAUCAGCCAUACCACGGUGAAUACGUUCCCGGAUCUUGUACUCACCGCCCGUCACACCAAGAGAGUUGGUAGCUCCUGAAGC
rnacentral:rRNA from 1 species